rnacentral:misc_RNA from 1 species
AAGUCGUAACAAGGUUUCCGUAGGUGAACCUGCGGAAGGAUCAUUAUAGAAUAAACUUGAACGGGCUGUUGCUCUCCCAUAGGGUGGUGCACGCCUGUCAUAUUUAUCUCUCCCACUGUGCACAUUUUGUAGACCUGGUGUUUGGGAAUUGCUGUGGGUCAGCUCUGCCCUUUUGGCCUUUGCCAGUCUAUGUUAUUUUAUCACAACCUCUGAAUGUUUUGAACUUUAUAAUGAUGGAAUUUUAUACAACUUUCAGCAACGGAUCUCUUGGCUCUC